rfam:Perkinsus marinus ATCC 50983 gcontig_1104296686106, whole genome shotgun sequence.
GCUCUGGUGGCUCAAUCGAAUAGAGCGUUGGACUUCUAAUCCAAAGGUUGCGGGUUCAAGUCCCGCCCAGAGUA